rnacentral:rRNA from 1 species
CCUACGUGAGGCAGCAGUGAGGAAUAUUGGUCAAUGGGCGCGAGCCUGAACCAGCCAAGUAGCGUGAAGGAUGACUGCUCUACGGGUUGUAAACUUCUUUUAUAAAGGAAUAAAGUGAGACACGUGAGCCUUUUUGUAUUUACUUUAUGAAUAAGGAUCGGCUAACUCCGUGCCAGCAGCCGCGGUAAUACGGAGGAUCCGAGCGUUAUCCGGAUUUAUUGGGUUUAAAGGGAGCGUAGAUGGGUUGUUAAGUCAGUUGUGAACGUUUGCGGCUCAACCGUAAAAUUGCAAUUGAUACUGGCAGCCUUGAGUGCAGGUGAGGAAGGCGGAAUUCGUGGUGUAGCGGUGAAAUGCUUAGAUAUCACGAAGAACUCCGAUUGCGAAGGCAGCCUACUAAACUGCCACUGACAUUGAUGCUCGAAAGUGUGGGUAUCAAACAGGAUUAGAUACCCCGGUAGUC